UGUUUCGUUAGACUUUUUAUGUGUUGUAUACGCUCUGCCCCCCCUGUGUUCCAUUAUAGUGUUAUAAUAAUGUAUGAUCGACCCUUCAGAGAUAGGACCUCCGUCUCACAUAGUGUUUAUUGUCUAGUGGGUCUUUACCGGCUGUUUUGGCUUAUUGUGACUGUUACUUAUCCAUUCUAAAGUCUUUACCCACUAAUCGAGGCACGUGUGUCGUAUACCUCUUCUGCUCUUGAACUGUGACAUACAUUCGAGAAUAAUGGUAUAACAAGUGCAAAAAACAUUUUUGGGAGAGUAGGGCAUGUGCUCUUGAACUGUGACAUACAUUCGAGAAUAAUAGGUAUAACAAGUGCAAAAAACAAAAAUGGGGAAGAGUUAUUGGACAGAGUUCAGAUAACAAUAGAGAUCACAGAAAGACGCACAAACAUGAGUGAAAUAAGCUUCAUCACAGGGACUUAAUUAUAUGCAGGAAGCGGCUUGUUUGCCAAGGUGGUUUGAACACCAAUACUUGCUGGGGAAAUCUGCACUUUAUUGUGUCCACAUCAUCAUGCUACAUGUAGGUGGUUCCACCCAAUUUCAUAGCUCCGUGGAGGGUCACAGCGAUCCCUACUCAACUGGUAGUCAGUGACCGCCUACGACGUUAGUAUUUAGCUUUUUUUCACAGCAAUAUUUUCUUUUUUGCAGCUCUAGAAUUUGGCUGCCCGAUUCACUCACAUUGAGAACGACAGAGAUCAAGAGACAAGACUCGAUCAGACACAUACACCACUCCAGGUAUGGCAAAGACCAACUCGUUCUUUUGGGACGAUUGUACAUAUUGCUAGGUUGUACAAAGACGUUAUCUCCUCCGCAGUGGGAGCCUAGGGUUUGGGAUCACCAAGCACCUCCAGUGACUGUCAGCGGAUUGCUGUAAAAGAGAACAAAUUAGCUUGUGAAAGCGUGACCCUAUAUACCCAUUGGAGAUGAAGCCAAUUUAUUGUGUAGGGGGUAUUUACCGUAUUUUUUUGUCUCAGUGUGUUGUGAUUCGUGUCCCAACGACAGUGCUGGCUGCUUGACAGAAGUGAUUGACCAAUGGAUGAAGGGUUGGUCUGGACGACCAACAUGGAGUGAGCUGGCCAAUCUCGUCUCAGUAACAUAGGAGAGGAGCAAGUACAUGUAGCAAAGGAACUUGUGACCAGCUACGAGUCUGGGGCAUGUGGCAGGGGUGCACGACUCUAAGAGGAUCUUCUGAGAGGAGAGUGUGCUAUAUAAAAUAUCUCCUUGGGCAGUUCCAGCAGUGGAUUGCAGCUACAUCUGUUAUAGAGUGUACACAAACCAGUGAGGAGGACCUUGCACAUAAGGAAGUGUUUUGGUACACAGUAAUAUUACCUAGCUAGCUACAUUGUAGUGUUUUCUAACCAGAGAGAUGGGAUUCUAUUUCACAGAGUGUAUACUAGCUAACGUAGGUGAUGUGUUUUCUCUGUGCAUGGUGGCCUAUAUCAACCUUAGCACUCUAGUGGGUCUUUACCGUGUGUUUUGGCUCAGUGCGACUGCAAUAUUUCCUUUUCUGCAGCUCAAGCACACCAGUGAGUUUCUCCAUAGAAUCAGAUUGCUCGUAGCACCAGUCGUAUGCUGAUGAAGGUGGCAAGAGAAUUUCAAGAAAAUGGCUGCCCAGGUCACCCAGAUUGAGAACGACAAAGAUCGAGAGAAGACUCACCGAUAAGAGAGAGUACAUGUAAGUCAAUAUACAGUACCCCCUUAGAUUAUAGGCACGUAGUUCACAUUUAAAGGUCGUCAGUUGAAUCCGAAGGUCGGGUGGAGAUGCUGGCGUGAUAAUAUCGGUUUACGCGGGCACAGUCUUUGUGGCUUAACCUGUUGACCCAUACUUGCAUUUUUUUUGUCAUCUUGUUGUGGGGGCUGGCUAUGCGUUUAGGCCACUCUUUUUAUUUGUUGAACACACAAUCAGCAUGAGCUUGCCGUCACACAAACACGAAGUUUAACCCCACUCUCUUUUGAGUAGCCCCACAAAAUUAGCGCCACUGUUUUUAGCUUGUCGCCACACAAAUACAAAGUUUAGCCCCCCUACUCUUAGCAUACUUUUAGAACAAAUAGUAUGCCAUACAAUGGAGGAUUUCAAGUUGGUGGCAGAAGUUAAAAGUUGAAGUGCACUCAGCCAUGACCCCUCCCCCCCACACACACACAUGUACACACACACCGUGCACUGUGCACAGGAGGAUAGUCAGGGUCAAUUAAAAGGAUUCCUGAUAACUUAUUUGCAUUCCGCUCUUUCUUUCUUACCUCUAACCACUAGCGAGGGGGUUGGAGAUAAUUAAGUCCGCUGGAAGCAGAUUUGAAUUGACCUUGAAUAUCCUCAUUUGCGCGCACACACACACACACACACACACACACACACUACUGACAAACAUUUGGUUCAUAUUAGCUCAGCCAACAAGUCACAAGUAAGUAUCCUUUGUCUUCGACUUAAUUCGUGGAUUUGCAAAAUAAUGUUCACAGUUUUGCUUACUUGGAAUGUCAUUGCAGCCUUUUCAGAAGAGCACGUUUGUUUACGGAGUGUCAAUUGGUUGAUCGUUACCCAUUCUUUGAGUUUGCAUGCGCAGUAAAAUGUAUGUUCGUCAUGUACAUUUAAAAAAGCUAUUAGUUGCUUUAUGUUAUAUGUACGUAGCUUUGGCAUCUCCACCGAGGCAUCAGCACCUGAGGUGCUAAGUAUACUUAGACAGAGGAGGUUGGCCACGCGUCAUCAAUUUUGUGACGUAUGUGAUGUCUCUGCUCAGGUUACCAUGGAUACCGAGCAACUGUAAAAAGAAUGUAUGGCUACUGUUACUUUGCUAGCUUAUAACUGUUGUCUAGUUGGACCAGGAUUAGUUAGACUAUAGGGUAGAGUAUAGCUCAGCGGUGCUGCAUGUAGCUUGUACUGUACUGGCUGACUAUAUGCACUGAUAACUCGCCAGAAUAGAGGGGAUCGCUGGGGAUCGGGUUGGUUAAUGAUAGCCAGAGAGAUACAUAAAUGUUGCUUUCAGUCUCCAAUGACCGUGCAACACCAGCUAGAAGUUUACAUGGAAAACCCUUGUCAAUUUCUAUGCCAGCUCAGCAAAAAAAGUGGUGCACGUGAUCGUGUCCAACCUCCUCUGAUGCUUAGAUCAUGUUUGUCAUAAAUACUGCAAUUUGAUUGGCUAAAGGAAUUAAGUGUUCUAUCCAACUUAGAAAAUCAUGUAUAUACUUCACUUAGAAAAUCAUGUAGAGAUAAGAACAUUCAAAUCUGAUUGGCUAAAUACCCAUGGUUGCUAUGAUCUAA